UAGGGUUUAGGCUCCCCGGCAUAGAUAUAAAACCAGGCUCUAGGGUUUCCACUCCGCCGCGCCGCCCCCUCCUCCCACCCUGCCUCGUCGCGGAACAGUGCUCCCACCGCCGGCGCCAUGAGUAAGUUGCAGAGUGACGCCCUGAGGGAGGCAAUCACAAACAUUAUCAAUGACUGCCGUGAGAAGAACCGCAAGUUCGUUGAAACCAUUGAGCUGCAGAUUGGUCUGAAGAACUAUGACCCGCAAAAGGACAAGCGUUUCAGUGGUUCUGUUAAGCUUCCUCACAUCCCUCGCCCAAAGAUGAGGGUUUGCAUGCUUGGUGAUGCCCAGCAUGUUGAAGAGGCAGGGAAAAUGGGCCUAGACUGCAUGGAUGUGGAAUCUCUUAAGAAGAUGAACAAAAACAAGAAGCUAGUCAAGAAGCUUGCAAAGAAGUAUCAUGCUUUCCUUGCAUCUGAGGCUAUCAUUAAGCAGAUUCCCCGUCUUCUUGGACCUGGUCUUAACAAGGCAGGAAAGUUUCCAACUUUGGUGUCUCACCAGGAAUCCCUUGAGUCCAAGGUUAAUGAGACCAAGGCCACAGUCAAGUUCCAGUUGAAAAAGGUGCUUUGCAUGGGUGUUGCCGUUGGCCACCUGGGUAUGGAGGAGAAGCAGAUCUUCCAGAACGUGCAGAUGAGCGUGAACUUCCUCGUCUCUCUGUUGAAGAAGAAUUGGCAAAACGUGAGAUGCUUGUACCUGAAGAGCACGAUGGGAAAGGUGUACCGGUUGUUCUAGACUCUAGUCUUCUAGGAUUUCCAGGAGAUUGACAACUUGGGAACUUUUGUUGCUUUCUCAAUUAUCAAAUUUUCGUGCGGGACGAGUGACAAUUAUUGUCUUGUACUGAGAUGGUUUGUUCUAUUGUCUGGAACUUGAUGACAUUUUAUCCGUUGCCCCUGUGCCUUCCUACUGCUCUGCC
rnacentral:rRNA from 1 species